CCCGGCAAGAAAAACCAAAGAUGGCGACCGGGUGAUGAACUGUCAAAAGCUCCCAUGGAACGCGGGUGGCCCACUGAGCUCUAUACUAACUGGAAUGGACUAGCACACAAAGAAAGUGACGCAGCUGGCAGCUCGGACUUAUUCCAGUCCGAAAGAAUCCCAUGAAAGAAUACUACGGCUACAUCAAGAUGGCUGGUGUAGCAGCAGAAGCCACCACAGAGGGUCAUGUGUGGACCUGAGGCAACAAAAGUUAAAUUUAUUUGGGAUUAAAAGUUAAAAGACAGUUGUGCAACCGGGUGAUAAUCUUGUAUUAAAGAAAGUUCUUAUGUAGCAAGCAAACGAUGAAGUAAAGGCUGCUAUUAAUUAUAUCAGAUGACUUUAGUUGCUGCAAGAGUGUUGAACAUGUUCAUCUACUGAAGCUGCAAUGACAUCCACUAUCCCAUAGAAUGUUCUAUGAGCAGUACUUUGAGAAAAAUUGUAUUUGUCA